rnacentral:rRNA from 1 species
GGCAGACGGGUGAGUAACACGUGGGAAUGAGCCCUUCGGUUCGGAACAACCCAGGGAAACUUGGGCUAAAACCGGUACGUCCGCGAGGAGAAAGAUUCAUCGCCGGAGGAGCAGCCCGCGUCUGAUUAGCUAGUUGGUGUGGUAAUCGCGCACCAAGGCGACCAUCAGUAGCUGGUCUGAGACGCAUGAUCAGCCACACUGGGACUGAGACACGGCCCAGACUCCUACGGGAGGCAGCAGUGGGGAAUAUUGGACAAUGGGGGCAACCCUGAUCCAGCCAUGCCGCGUGAGUGAUGAAGGCCCUAGGGUUGUAAUGCUCUUUCGGUGGGGAAGAUAAUGACGGUACCCACAGAAGAAGCCCCGCCUAACUUCCUGCCAGCAGCCGCGGUAAUACGAAGGGGGCUAGCGUGCUCGGAAUCACUGGGCGUAAAGCGCACGUAGGCGGGUCUCUAAGUCGGGGGUCAAAUCCCGGAGCUCAACUCCGGAACUGCCCUCGAUACUGGGGACCUCGAGUCCGGGAGAGGUGAGUGGAACUGCGGUGUGUAGAGGUGAAAUUCGUAGAUAAUCGCAAGAACACCAGUGGCGAAGGAGGCUCA